GUGAAGAGACGUUCGCUUCUCCUCGUUAUCCGACACUUAAUUCGUCAGGAAAUUGCUUUACUUCACUGAAACACCCGUAAGGAACAGUGUGUGUGUGUGUGUGUGUGUGUGUGUGUGUGUAGGUAUAUAUGGAGAGGUAAGGAAAAGGAGUUAGAAAUAGAUAAAAGGAAGAGAGAAUGGAUAAAGAGAAGGGAUAGUGAAAAGAAAAUAGACAGGAAUAUUAUGAUUAGAAAGAGAUUUAGUAAUAGAAGAAAAGGAUAUAAUAAUGAUGAUAACAAGAGUAGGAAUAUUAAUGAUAACAAACAAAUAAACAAGUAAACAAACACACACCACCACCACCACCAACAACAACAACAACAAUGCCGUCUCACCCUUUUAAACUCAAACAGCAGCAUCAGGAGGCGGACCAAAAGCAAGCCGACCAAAUUGAUAUAUACACACACAGGUAACCAUUAAAUUCGGGCAGGUAACAGGCGUGACGGGGAGGUUGUGGCCGCUGAAAGGUGCGCUGAGUCAGGUGCGAGGAAGGUGAAAAUGAAAGUGUGUGAAGGUGUGUUCAGAAGAUGAAAAUGAAAGUGUUGAGGUUGAGAGAGUGAAACAGGUGGAGGGAUGGUGAAAAUGAGUUAGAAAGGAAAAGUGGAAAUAGGGAGAGAGGGCGAAUAGGAGAAAGGGAGGUUAUGAUAGAUAGGGUGGAACAGACGAAGGGAGAGGAGGAUGAAAUGGAAGAGAAAAAGGACACGGAGAAUGAGGUGAGAGAAGGAAGGAGACAAUUAGAGAGAGAGAGAGAGAGAGAGAGAGAGAGAGAGAGAGAGAGAGAGAGAGAGAGAGAGAGAGAGAGAGAGAGAGAGAGAGAGAGUCUAAAGGUGUGAAAUGAUUUAAAAGGAAUACGCAAAUGUUUGUAAAGGAUGUGCAAGUUACCGUGUGUGUGUGUGUGUGUGUGUGUGUGUGUGUGUGUGUGUAGCCAACGCCCACGUGAACGAUCCCCCGUUUAACAAUAGAUACCUGAUCCUCCUCCGCGGCGAAUCGUGACGAGACUUAGGAUCAGGGAAAUUAUAAGGGAAGGAAACUGCGUGAAGGAGGAAACUGGAAACGAAAGAGAGGAAAGGAAAAGGAGUUAGAAAGGAAAGUGAAAAGAAGGAAAAGUGAAAAGAAGGGAGGAAAAAUGAAGAAAAGAGGGAGAGAGUAGGGAAAGAAACUGCGCAAAGGAGGAAACUGGAAACGAAGGAGAGAUAAGGAAAAGGAGUUAGAAAUGAAAAUGAAAAGAAGGAAAAGUGAAAAGAACGGAUGGAAAAUAACUAAAUGCCAGAGAACUCAUUUCCCAUUUACCGAAGAACGAAGAAAAACUAUAAAAAAAAACCAUAAAAUUAACCAAACCUCAGAAUACUCUUUUACAUUUUCCUCAAAGAAAAAAAAAUAAUGACGAAUCAAUAUGAAAAAAAAAAAAGAAAUAGUGAAGGAGAGAACGAGUUGUGAAUUGAAUCAUAUGAGGCAGUGAAAGGAAAGGCCAUGUGUGUUUGAUGUUUGUGUGUUUGUAUAAGCUUAUUAGUGGCCCUUGGCGUGUUUUAUCUCCGCACACACACACACACACACACACACACACACACACACACACACACACACACACACACACACACACACACACACACACACACACACACACACACACACACACACACACACACACACACACACAGACUAACGACCUUUAAACUCUUUCCCAAAUUAUAUUCAACGCUAUUUAUUCAUUCAUUCACUUAGUCAUCUAUUUCUCUAUUUAUUUUUACGAUUUCUCUAAGUUUCUCUUCAUAGGUUAGGACGCAUUCAUGGUCAGUAAGUGGAAAGUAUAACCCAAGACUUCCAUUCAGUGCGGUCAAUGUUUUUUCCUUUACCCCUUUUUUGGUAUAGAUCUGAUUCCUGUCCAUAUAUUUUCGAAAGGCGGUGAUGUAAGGGAAGAAGGAGGAGGAAGGGGAAGAGAGGAAGGAAGAGGGAUUUGAAGGAAGAGGAAGGUAGCGGCGUGGGAGGGAAAGGAGGUGAGGGAAGGUGAGAGAGAGAGAGAGUGGAAAAAAGAGAAAGGGAAAGAUUGAAAAAGAGAGAGGGAGGUAGUGUGAAAAGAGAAAGGAAAAGGGAAUAAAAGGGAAGGAAAGUGAAAAGGAGGGAGGGAAAGUUAAGUAAGGGGAGGGAGAGAGUGGAAAAGGAGGGAGGGAAAGUGAAAGGGAGGGAGGAAGAAUGAAAAACAGAGGGAUAGAGUAGAUAAGAAAAAGGGAGAAUGGAGAAGAGGAAGAUAUAGUGAAAAGGAAUUAGACAGGAAAGUGAAAAAGAGGGAGGGAGAGAAUUGAAAAGAAGGGAGAAAGUGAAAAAGAGGAAGGGAGAGAAUUGAAAAGAAGAAGGGAGAAGGUGAAAAAGAGGAAGGGAGAGAAUUGAAAAGAAGAAGGGAGAAGGUGAAAAAGAGGAAGGGAGAGAAUUGAAAAGAAGAAGGGAGAAAGUGAAAAAGAGGAAGGGAGAGAAUUGAAAAGAAGAAGGGAGAAAGUGAAAAAGAGGAAGGGAGAGAAUUGAAAAGAAGAAGGGAGAAAGUGAAAAAGAAGAAGGGAGAGAAUAAUUAUUGAAAAGAAGAAGGGAGAAAGUGAAAAAAAGGGAUAGUAAAAAAAAGAAAAGUGAGAAAAAAAGAGAAAGGGAAAGUUAAAAAAGAGAGAGAGAGGAAAACUGAAAAAAAAGGAAGAAGAGAAAGUUAUAUCAAAGGAGGGAUAGGAAGAAGAAAGAGAGAGAGA